rnacentral:rRNA from 1 species
UACGAAGGGUGCAAGCGUUACUCGGAAUUACUGGGCGUAAAGCGUGCGCAGGCGGUAAGUUAAGUCUGAUGUGAAAGCCCCGGGCUCAACCUGGGAAUGGCAUUGGAAACUGGCUUGCUGGAGUGUGGCAGAGGGGGGUGGAAUUCCGCGUGUAGCAGUGAAAUGCGUAGAGAUGCGGAGGAACACCGAUGGCGAAGGCAGCCCCCUGGGCCAACACUGACGCUCAGGCACGAAAGCGUGGGGAGCAAACAAG